rnacentral:rRNA from 1 species
AUUGAACGCUGGCGGAAUGCUUUACACAUGCAAGUCGAACGGCAGCAUAGGUGCUUGCACCUGAUGGCGAGUGGCGAACGUGUGAGUAAUCUAUCGGCACGUGCCCUGUCGUGGGGGAUAACUUAGUGAAAAUUACGCUAAUACCGCAUACGAUCUAAGGCUAACAGCGGGGGAUCGCAAGACCUCGCGCGAUUGGAGCGGCCGAUAUCAGAUUAGGUAGUUGGUGAGGUAAAGGCUCACCAAGCCAACGAUCUGUAGCUGGUCUGAGAGGACGACCAGCCACACUGGGACUGAGACACGGCCCAGACUCCUACGGGAGGCAGCAGUGGGGAAUUUUGGACAAUGGACGCAAGUCUGAUCCAGCCAUUCCGCGUGCAGGACGAAGGCCUUCGGGUUGUAAACUGCUUUUGUACGGAACGAAAAGGUCUCUAUUAAUACUAGGGGCUCAUGACGGUACCGUAAGAAUAAGCACCGGCUAACUACGUGCCAGCCGCCGCCGUAA